rnacentral:misc_RNA from 1 species
CCGAGUUAUACAACUCCUCAAACCCCUGUGAACAUACCUAUAACGUUGCCUUCGGCGGAAUCCGCCCCGGCGCCCCCGUAACACGGGCCGCCCCCGCCAGGAGGACCCCAUAACUCUUGUAUUUCUUAUAAUGUUUCUUCUGAGUAAACAAGCAAAUAAAUUA